rnacentral:tRNA from 1 species
GGUGGCUCAGUGGUAAAGCGCUUGCCUUGCAUGUAUGAGGCUCUGGGUUCAAUUCCUCAGCACCA